UGUCGCGCCACGGCACGUGCAAAUUUUCGUCGGGUUCGCGUGUUUAAAAGAGCAAAUGCAUUGAAAUGUUGAGGCGUAUCGGCAGCUGGAGCGCGCGAGACGCAUUGUGACGGAUGUUUCGUUCGUCGAUUUCCUCGAUGGACAUUCGGUUGCUCGAUUUAGACGAAUAUACGUAUCGAUAAUAAAAGUUUCGAAGGACAGGAGGACAACUUCUAAGAUGCAGGAAAAUAUUCGAAGCUUUGUAAACAUCUCUUACGGAUUUAUCACGCGCGUUAUAGGGAAACAAAUAUAAUUGGAUAAUCGAGUCUCCUCGAUUGUUGAAAUUUAAACUCGUACCUCGUAUUCCUGGGAUACGAAAACGAUCGGGGUUAACGUCUCUCAAUCAACGCGAGAGUGGCAAAGAAGAGACAGAAAGAAGAAGAAGAACAAAGGGAAAAGAAAAGAAUCGCGUAAUCCUGCAGACGUAAUCGAAAGCAAAGGUAAAACGCGUUAAUUUACCAAGGCGAUUCAUUAAAGGUACGCGAGCGGCCUCGUAAAUAGCUGACUGUUAGUCUUUGUUUUUACGGGCCAGGUUCUUGUUGCACGCGUUAAGCAGAAUCGUGUACGAUUAUACUUUCAGAUACAGCGUCGUUCGACUUUGUAUUUUUCACACGUAGCAGCGUUGUUUUCUUAUCACGGAGCCGGAGUGGCUCGUAAGUCGUGCACAAAAUCGCUUCGUGGAACUCGUCUCUCACACCCUGUCUGUUCGCCAUUGUUUCAGCAACCCCCCAGACGCGAUUCGAACCGUCCACUUCCGUAAGAAGAGGCGGCUAGGGCUGGCAAUCGAGGCAGCUUUCGCAUCGUUUUUCGAGAUCGCAUGAUUUUUCUUUUUAAGCUUGGAAGCUUUAUUCGUCGAAUAAAAACGCGUUCGCAAGCUCGUUAUUAGAACCGGAACGUCUACUUCUCAAACAGAGGUACAACGACAGAGUCGCCAUUAAUUAUCGGAUAGGAAUAGGAUACCUAAAAUUUCUGUGUCUUCGAGUAUUAUGAACAAAGUACCUAAAAUUUGUUAGAGUCUUUCGACGAAUGUAACGAAUGUAAUAUUGUUCGUAAUUGUUCGAACAACAAACGUUUUAUUUUUUGUCACUUAUUGAAAGUUACGUAAGGAUUUCUUGCUACUUUUAACACGAACGAUCCUUUAUCGGAACGGUGAACAUUGAUCGUUGGUUAGAAAUUGCGCGUGUCUUGAAUGUAAAUUAUUCAAGAAAUAUCAAUCGAGCAUCGAUGUCGCUCGAAUGUGUAAUUAUGAGUGGAAAUAUAAGUAUAUCGAGACGAAAUCACGAGCGUUACAGCACGACGGAAAAUGUUGUACAACAGGACGUUAUAUAAGAUGAAGUUGAAGUGCAGUUUCAUGGUUAAUCCGAAGCGAGGAUCCGCGCUAUCGAUCGUAUUUUGAAGUUGUUACCGAACGUAUACAUAUAGGUAUUUAGGUUUCCUGUAGUUAAACUUCAUAACUGUAAAUAACAUUGUAAUUUAUACGAUAGAAGCGCCAAGUGUCUU